CACUCCUUCUCCCCCUCCUGCCCUCUCCUCCUCCUCCUGCCGUCCCUCACUGCGCACCGCGGCUCGCCGGCGCCUCUAUCUAUUUUGUGUCCAGCCCCGGCCGCGCGCCGUGAUUCAUGGCCCCAAUUAGGGGCCCUCCCGCUCCAGCGCGCACGGCUCCAGGGUCUCAGGGGACCUGGGAUACCGGCGGCAGCGGCCCAGGCUGGUCUUUCAGCAGAGGUCAAGCGGGACGGGGGAGGAGCCAGGUAAGGAAGGUCGACCCUUGUGGCUCCGGUCCAGCACCUCUCCCCAGCCUGGGGCCCCAGUUUCAGAGACAGAAGGAAGUUUUUCCUGGGCUUUUUCCAGCCAUUGGUGAAUGCAUCACCCUGGAGAGUCUUCACGGACCCCUCCCCUCCGCGACUGACCAAGGCCCAAGGCCACCUGGUCACAGGCAGAGAUAGAAGGGGUCCUGAGUGUCUCAGGGCAGGGGAUUCUCCUUCUCUGGGCCCUUUGCUCACAUCAUUUAACAGGAGCUGCCCAGGGAGCUGCUGUUUCACAAACUUCAUUGCAUUAAACACAGGGAAACACCCACGGAGCGCAGGGCAAUCUGGACAGCAUCCCCCUUGACUCCGCCUGUGUCCACAGUGUGGUCAGCCCAUUGCACAGAUGGGAAGGAGGCGGUGCUAUUACGUUACCCGUCCGACCCUGCAGCCUCAGGAGGCGGACAUCUGGUCCACAUCAGCAUCUGCACAUGGAGCCAACAGUAGUGAGUUCGCAGCCAGGACCCCUCCCCCAGCCUUUCUGCUCUGACUAGCCUGGGAGACCUCUCUGGACCUCAUGUGUCCCGUCUGUGAAAUGACACCUUUCCAGAAGUUCCAGGAUUCAAGCCUCUGGAUUCUCAGCGGUGCACAGCUGUCCCAACUGGGCAGCUGGAGCCCAGAGUCCUGGGAAGGAUGGACUGGGCGGGCCUCUCGCUCUCUGGUGGAUAGAAUAGGGCUUCCUCUUGGCACAGACACCGUGCAUUAUAAAUAUGUGGAAGAAGGGGAAGGGCCCCCUCCUGGGAGUCUCUGGUGGAUACUCCAGGACUCACAGUCCCAGGAUUAACAGGAAGAUCAGCGUGGCUGACCGUGGGACAUGGGGCCUCUGUGGGGCCCAAGAAAGUGCUGGCUCAGCACACUGACUGCAAGAUUGGAGUAGAGGGGCUGCCUGGCUCCUGGCAUUUUUAAUACGUAGUGAGAGGGACUGAUUAGGGAGACUUUAAAGGAUGAAGUUGGCUUCAUUGUGUGGCCGCCAGUCAGAGAACUGUGGGGUCUCACCCAGACAGAAGACUAUGCCAGGUCUCUGUGCCAGUAGGCAGGGUCCCCACAGGCCUGGCACAGGCUGUCCCCGUGCUCCAGCACCCUCUGGGAAGUGCAGGGGCCAUCUCGAUGGUCUGGGGAACAGCCAUAUCCUGAGAGGCUUCCAGUCAUCCCGAGUCGGGUCCUCCUCAGUGUGUCUGCUCUUCGUCUUCCUGCCCCGAAGGGUUGCAGUGCCCUCUUCAGAGGACAGAACCCAGGCUGUCUUGUUCAUUGUGUAGCCAGGGCUGGCUCUGUGUGCAGGUUCCAUGCACCCAGGUCCCAGUCCUGCGCCCUCCCUGGCCAGCUGUGGGACCCUGGGCAGCCCACUCAGUGGGCCCCACCUUCUGGGACCUGAGGACAGCACUCAGUAGCAGCAGAGAGUGCCCAGGCACAGAGUGACCAAUGACUCAGGAACGUCCCCUGCACAGAUCAGAGAAGGAAGAAGGCAAGUGACAGUGGCCAUCUGUGGGUAGAUGGCCAGGGGACACAGCUAGACAUGCAGGACUGAUGUUGCAGCUCCUCUGGUUCUUAGUGCUGUGCCCUUGGCCUGCUACUUAACCUCUCUGACACUGUUUGCCCAGCUGGGAAAGAGAAAUACCAAAACCACACAGCCACUGGCCAUGGAGGAGGAGGAAUGGAGACAGAAAGGCUGAAGAAUCCUCUCUUCCUGGGAAGCAGCAGGAGAGCUCGCGGGUACUGAGUGAGUGACAGCCGCACGCCAGAUGCCUGCCUCUCAGGCACCAAGUCCCUGAUGAGGUACCACCAGCCCCUGGAAGGUUCUGUUACGUCCCCAACUCACAGGCGAGAAGCAGAAAAGGGCCUGGCCCAGCUACCCAGCUUGGUGGGCCUCAAAUGCCUUGGCUGUGCCCGCUGAUCAGAGUUGCUUCACCCCAAAUCCAUCUUAUUGGACAGGAGCAGCCUGAGCCCACCCAUGUGUUCUCAGUGUCCCAUGCAGCAGAGCUGGCAGGUUCCUGCCCAGACACGGAACAGGCCACGCUCACCCAGGGAGAUGGGAGGACACCAUAAUGAAGCAAGCGCCUCUCUGUUCUCCUCAGAAAGACUCCAAACAUGGCAGGCGACUGGCAAAAAUAUAUCCUUCUCAGGAAGAAUGUAAUGUUAACAAUAAAAGGAAAAAAAAAAAGAAAAAAGAAAAAGAAAAAGAAUGCCCUGGGAUUUAUGGAGGCCUCGGCCUGGGGACUGUCUCGCAUCUGGCAGCUCGUGGCAGUGUACACGGAGGCCUGGCGGGCAGCAGUCUGUCCACUGAAGGGAGACUGAGGCUCCAGGAGGCACACAGCGGCUCUCAGGAGACGGGGGCAGCCUCCAGGGCCCGCGAGGUUUCCUGUGUCUCACACACCAACUGUGCUGAUUCGUUAAACACAAACAUGG